rnacentral:rRNA from 1 species
UACGGAGGAUGCGAGCGUUAUCCGGAUUUAUUGGGUUUAAAGGGUGCGCAGGCGGGCUUUUAAGUCAGCGGUAAAAAUUCGGGGCUCAACCCCGUCCGGCCGUUGAAACUGGGGGUCUUGAGUGGGCGAGAAGAAGGCGGAAUGCGUGGUGUAGCGGUGAAAUGCAUAGAUAUCACGCAGAACCCCGAUUGCGAAGGCAGCCUUCCGGCGCCCUACUGACGCUGAGGCACGAAAGUGCGGGGAUCGAACAGG